GGUUCUCCGUUUAUAAUUGUCUCUUUAUCGUUAAUAUCAGCUGGAGACGGGUACAGCACCGAACAACAUUGUUGGUUGUCAACAGAAGGGGCUAUAUGGGCAUUUGUCGGUCCUGCCUUAACUGUGAUAACAAUCAAUCUCGCCAUCCUAAUUAUGAUAAUUCGAACGUUCUUGGGCGUGGCCAUUGUUGCAAAGAAAACUGAAUUGCAAAAAUUCAAG